AAGCAGGGGAUCGUAAGACCUUGCGCUUUUGGAGCGGCCGAUGCCUGAUUAGCUAGUUGGUGGGGUAAAAGCCUACCAAGGCAACGAUCAGUAGUUGGUCUGAGAGGACGACCAGCCACACUGGGACUGAGACACGGUCCAGACUCCUACGGGAGGCAGCAGUGGGGAAUUUUGGACAAUGGGCGAAAGCCUGAUCCAGCAAUGCCGCGUGAGUGAAGAAGGCCUUCGGGUUGUAAAGCUCUUUCAGUCGAGAAGAAAAGGUUGUGAUGAAUAAUCACAACUCAUGACGGUAUCGACAGAAGAAGCACCGGCUAACUACGUGCCAGCAGCCGCGGUAAUACGUAGGGUGCAAGCGUUAAUCGGAAUUACUGGGCGUAAAGGGUGCGCAGGCGGCUUUGUAAGUCAGAUGUGAAAUCCCCGGGCUUAACCUGGGAAUUGCGUUUGAAACUACAAGGCUAGA
rnacentral:rRNA from 1 species